UACGUAGGGCGCAAGCGUUAUCCGGAAUUAUUGGGCGUAAAGAGCUCGUAGGCGGUUUGUCGCGUCUGCUGUGAAACUCAGGGCUUAACCCUGAGCCUGCAGUGGGUACGGGCAGACUAGAGUGUGGUAGGGGAGAUCGGAAUUCCUGGUGUAGCGGUGGAAUGCGCAGAUAUCAGGAGGAACACCGGUGGCGAAGGCGGCUUCUGGACGACAACUGACGCUGAGACGCGAAAGCGUGGGGAGCAAACAGG
rnacentral:rRNA from 1 species